rnacentral:rRNA from 1 species
CCUACGGGUGGCAGCAGUGAGGAAUAUUGGUCAAUGGACGAGAGUCUGAACCAGCCACGUAGCGUGAAGGAUGACUGCCCUAUGGGUUGUAAACUUCUUUUAUAUGGGAAUAAAACGUUCCACGUGUGGGAUUUUGUAUGUACCAUAUGAAUAAGGAUCGGCUAACUCCGUGCCAGCAGCCGAGGUAAUACGGAGGAUCCGAGCGUUAUCCGGAUUUAUUGGGUUUAAAGGGAGCGUAGGUGGAUUGGUAAGUCAGUUGUGAAAGUUUGCGACUCAACCGUAAAAUUGCAGUUGAAACUGGCAGUCUUGAGUACAGUAGAGGUGGGCGGAAUUCGUGGUGUAGCGGUGAAAUGCUUAGAUAUCACGAAGAACUCCGAUUGCGAAGGCAGUUCACUGGACUGCAACUGACACUGAGGCUCGAAAGUGUGGGUAUCAAACAGGAUUAGAUACCCGUGUAGUC